rnacentral:ncRNA from 1 species
CGAAAGUUUUAUUUUAGCUUAAAAAUUAAGUUUAAUUUUAUUUUACAUGUAAAUUUUAGUGAGAAUUGUAGGUGUCUUAAAUAGAUGUUUAUUUAAUCUUAUUCGCAGUAAAGAAAUUUGAAUAUCAACUUAUGUUGGAUUGAGGAAUAAUUUUUUGUAUCGGCCAAAUUUGUGCCAGCAGCUGCGGUUACACAGGUGAUGCUUCUUAAUUUUUUGGGGUUCAGUAAAUUUGUUAGGUAAAUUUUAAAUUAAAGAUUAUAAAGUGAAAUUUCUAAUUUUUAUAAAAAUUUAAAUUUUUUAGUAAGGCUGGGAAAUUCUUUAUAUAAACUAGGAUUAGAGACCCUAUUAUUUUGAAUGUAAAUUUUAUGCCUGGAAUAGUAAUAGUUAUGUUCUUGAAAAUUAAAAAUUUUGGCGGUAUUUUAGUCCAUUCAGAGGAACCUGUCCUAUAAUCGAUGGUCCACGAUUUAUGUUACUUUUUUUUAGUAGUUUGUAUAUCGUCGUCGUUUGAGCAUUUUAUAAGAAUAAUAAUGCUCAAGAUUUUACUCAGAAGAGAAAUCAGAUCAAGGUGUAGCUUAUAAAAAAGAAGAGAUGGGUUACAAUAAAUUUAUUUAGAAGGAUUAAUUGUUUGAGAAGGAGUUAUGAAUUUGGAUUUGAAGGUAAUUUUAAUUAAAUAAUUAAGAUGAUUUUGGCUCUAAAAUAUGCACAUAUCGCCCGUCGCUUUCAUCCCAAGGUGAAAUAAGUCGUAACAAGGUAGGCUUACCGGAAGGUGAGCCUAGUUAGGC